ensembl:lncRNA
CUUUACCAAAAGGUCCCUUGUAUUGUCAGUAUUCACAUUUCCCUUAACACAAGGUGUAUUUAAUAUCUCAAAUUUUAAAUCAAAUUAUAAUUCCUUUCAACAUUUCCCAACAACCUUCACACAUGAUACUGAUAGUAGCCUAUUCUCAUAAUACUGCUGGCACAAGUCUACCAGUCCUAAAGUUUUUAUUUUGUUUCUCUUCUCAUUAUAAGCAGAGACAAGACUACAACUAAAUUUCAAGCAACAUCAUAUGUAUCUAUACACCCUUGGGGGAUCUCUCCACACAACAUCCUUCUGUACACCCUCUUUGUUCCCAUCUCUUAUGUGCAUUUCUACAACCCAUAACUCCUCUUUACUCCCACACCUUCAAAAUCACAUAAACAUAUUUAAAUCGAAUUCUUUGAGACUCGAAAAGGACACUAAGAAUUACACACACCCUCAUUCUAAUAGAUUUAGUAUGAUGAAUACAAUCAAUUACCAUACAUUGAAUAAAAUUAGAACACUAUGUCAAUAGACAAAUGUAUAACUCUUGAACAGGAUAAAAGAUUAAGACUGUGGAGGUGAGAAAAGGAAGCUGUUCAAGAUUCAUUAGCUCCUGAGUAAAGCCAGAGAGAGCAUGUCUGCUAGAAUUGCAGACAGCUCACUGAGGAUGGUAACUUGGAAGGCAUCUUUCCAGAUGGCAGUCCACGUUUGACUGGCAGAGGGUUUUGUAUGUUCAGUUGAUGGUGACAUUACACAGACCGGGAACUCUUCAUACAGCAACAUUAUCUUUAUGGCUGUUUUGUUCUUUAGUGUUUCAUAGCCAACUUCAUGUCAUGCAGGACAAUAUAAUGUACACUUUUUGAGCUCACAUUGCUCUUCAAAGAUUUCCUGCGGAGAUGAAAGUAAACUAGAGAAUUUAGUUUUAUUGUGUAUCAUUUUGACCCAUUCAAUUAUAAUCAUUUUUAUUACCGCUCAAACUCUGAUUUACGAAAGGAAGACGUGCGAUUAACAGGCUGUAAUAAAUUCCUCACCCCUCUUUGGUUCCGUACUCUUGAGUUUCUCCCGCUGUAUCUGACCUCAUGCUUUACGCAGUGCGGUCGUCGAGUUGAUAAUCCGUGUCAGUAAUCUCUUUUAACAAUUUAUUUCAGAAAGACAGAUCAAACACACCAUUUCCCCUGACGUGGAGUACAGACCGGUAGGUCAUUCUAUUGUUAUAUGUUAAUUAGCCAUAUGGAUAACUUUUUUUUAACUUGCUGGCUAGCUAGUUGCUUGCUGGCUAGCUAGCGUUCAUGUAAUUUAAGUUCUGUCGGAGUUUCCUUCGCACACAUUUGAUUGUUAACGAUAGCUUGGCGAGAGUGACAUUUAUACUUCAGUUUUCAUACGAGCCUUGAUUUGGUAGCUUGUCGAAUGUUGUUAUCCUGACACUCCAGUUUUGUUUCUUGGCUAUUGGCUAGCCACUUUCGUUUUGCUAAACCAUUUGGAAGAAAAUAUUGCUGACACGUUAGCCAGACAGGCCAGUGACCACAUUCAAGUUGUUACUGACCUAUUCUUCAAUUUUAGCACAUUGCGCUCUGUUCUUGCCGAGAUUAAUUAUUAUAUCUACAUUAAGGAUUUGUAUGUUCUUCUAUCUCGCAAAUAUAGAUCGAGUCCUGUAGUUGAGUUAUAUUUGACUUUUUAUCAGCACACCUUGGUGACGCCAGUCAAUCAGCUACAUCACCUUUCACAUGCUCGUGCAUCAUCAACAAAGACGAAUGGUGAGACUGAUAGUCGGCUUCAUUUUCAAGUCUUGUGUUGGUAAGAAUGGAUUUGGCAAUAUAUUUGUAUGGUCAAACUGUGUGAAAUAUGAUAUUGUGAAACAUUGCACCGUUAAACGUGAGCAGGAGUCUAUUUUAUGGAAUUGAUUGGGAUCAAUGCCAAUUGUCAAUCGAGCACGGCAAAAUGAGAUUGACUUUACAGCACCCAUUUGAGUCAAGACUCAAACUGACAGAUGUAGAGUGUGGUAUAGCAGCUAGAUAAUGCAUUAUCUCGAUAUUAUUAAAAAAACAUAGCUGAUAUCUGCUUCUGUCCCUUGCAGCCCCGUAUUUGCAGUGACUGGUGUUGUUGAGCCACCUUGUGGUGUUUGCACACAGUGUUCCCCCCCUGCCUCCCUCUCUCUGUUUCUCCAUCUACUCUGUCGCAUUUUUUUCUCUCACUCUUUCUCAGUUGUUAGGGUGUUUGACACCUGAGGUCUGCCACUAUGCAGCCUGGAGGAGCACACAAUGCUGUGUGUGGCCAGAGCCUGCUGUCCAACUCCCUUAGGGUGUAUCUGAACAACAAGAACAGACUGCAGCCCAUAAUCGGUCAGGAACAACUCUGUGUUUUUGUAAAUGAUACGUCUGUGUUUUAGACCAAUGUGUGUACUUUAGACCUGUGUGUGUGUUUUUAGGUCUGGGCUGUGUGACAGAGUGUGUGACACUCGGCUUGGACUCUGAGGCGGUGUACCUGUGUGAGGUGUGUGUGUGUCGUCUCAGUAAGGCUGAUGUCAGGAGCCACAUCAUGGGGAGUCUCCACCGAUACAACUACAUUAAAGUCCAUCACCCUCACUUUGUGUCAGAGUGGAAGCAGAGUCCUCCUGACCUGUCCAAGCUGGCCCGGCCUCUUAUGGAGAUGGCUCAAAUACUAGAGAAGAGAGAAGGAACCGGGGACGUACAGGUGCUGAAGUUGGAUGCUGCCAUGUAUGACGAUAUGACAACACACAGCGAGAGUGAUGCUCUCAUCCUCUUGCAUGCCACCAGGACUGGGAGGGAGCAGAGAGAUCUUCAGAGCCAAUCAGUGAAGCAAUCAGUCCAGUCGGAGUAUCUUACCAUCCAGUCACAGAGAACUGUGAUAUCGCCUCGGAGGCUCUCCGUCCAACCAGAGAGGCCUGUUGUCCAGCUUGACAACCGAACCGUCCUAUGGAGGAGUCCGACCACCCAGAGUCGGAACUCAUCUAGCCAAUCGGAGAAGUCCCCUGUGUUGCAGCAGAGUGUCUCUAUCCAAUCACGGCUUAGUUCGUUGGAGGAGGAGUUUCUCCAUGGAAGCAAGCCACUGGUUGGUGCUUCACUGAAGCGUCCUGCCUCAUCAUGGCAGCAUGACCCCUCUCUUUCCCCGACCCCAAAUGUCACAGCUGGAAGUCAGACGUCUCUGGGCGGGCCUGAGGGGAAGGGGGCGGGACUGCAGGGGGUUCCUGCAAAGCUGAUUCGCUGUGAGCCGGUGUUCAAGGUCAGUCUAUCUAUGACGGACGGCCCCUGGCUGUUGGAGAGGAACUCCUUCAGCCUGGAAACCUCCCCCUCCUCCCUCAGACACGCCUCACCCCUUCACUCCCCCACCGUAGAUGCCUCACUCCAACCCUCUCCCGAUCCCUCACGUUUGCUUGGCCAGCCGGGAAACUCAGUUGCCGCAAGACUCGGAAACACACAUGAAAAUACACACACUCCGGGACUGAGACGCACUCCGGGACAUGCACACACUUCAACUAUGAGACUGAGCCCAGCCAUACCUGAUGAGCAGCUGACUAUGGGAGACGAGGACACAGAGAAAGACCGUCUGUAUCUCGGAGGGGAACAGAGGUUCACCGACUAUGCUUUGUACGAUGGCAGAGAGAAAAACACAACUGACCUGGUUUACCUCAGGAGAGAGCAGGACCGAACUGACCAUCUGUAUUCAGAAAAUAACCGACUCACUGACACAAAGUUCCAUGUCCGAGUGGGGCAGAACAACCGACAAGGCAGUAUUUACCCCGGUCUAGCCUGUGCCAGAGACAUCACUGACACAGCGUCUGUUGCCGGGCCGAUUCUCUUCACUACCGGCUGUCUCUUGAAGGAGAGCUUGACAGACACUCCUCUAAUGGAAGAAGAACAGGAGGAGGAGAGGGGGAAUGAGUGUCAUUCUGGGGCACAGAGGCUUGCAGAGGAUGACAGGACAACUGACAGUCUGUACUCUACUGGAGAGAGGAUAACAGACAGUGGGUUUUCCACAGGAAGCAGGUCAAAUGACAAAAUGUACCAAACAGGAGAACGAUCAACUGACAAUCAGUCUUUUACAACAGAAGUGACAACUGACUGUUGGUAUGCUACAGGAGAGGAGCUAACUGACCGUCAGUUGAUGGAGGAAGAGGAGCGAUGCAGAGCUGAAAUUCAGAAUGGAGUUGGGCUCAUCGUGGAGGUCAUGGUGGAGGAGGGGGAGAGAGAGGAAGGAAAGGAUGGAGAGAGGGAGGAGAACUCAGACUUUUACCACCAACAGUAUUUGCAAGGCCAGCCUCUACAACGGCACCAGGCGCAGGGGUUCACAGGAACUCAUAGGGGCGCCGUAGGGCUUCAUAUGGUUGACACAGCAGAUCUCAGACAUGACAUAGCCCUUCAUAGAGAUCAGGCAGGGCCAGCCCUUCACCGAGAAGAGAUGAGCAGUCGUAUGGGUGACAUAGCAGCUAUGCAGCAGGUGCAGUUAUGUGAGGCUGAGUACAGAGAAGCAUGGGCCUAUGGAGGCACACAGCUGACCCCUGACACCUAUAGAUCAGGUCCGCAGGAGUAUGAGACUGACCCUGGCUCCUACCUGCCAUUCCCAGAGGGCCACAGAAUAAACUGUGACCCCCACCAAGUGGUUUCUGAUUGGUUUAGAACCACCCCUGGCCCGCACUUCGUUCACUCUAACCCUGACGAGUUUACACCCCAGGUCCUCCCGUACCCCCACAAUACAAUGCCCCAGGGGUUUGGACCCAAUCCCCACUCUGGUCCCUUCCCCAUGAAGAUGAGGGGCGUGCAGUCACAGGAGUACAGAAGGCUCCCCAGCCCCCCAUUUGUUAUGGUGUCUAGACCCUGCCACCCUCAGCCCUUCUUUCCAGGACAUGAAGGCUUUCUGUCCCCCCGGCACAGCCCAGCCUUACCUCCCAGCCCUCCCCACUACAGAGGAGCCUACUUGGGCCACAGCCCUGCCCGGAGUCCCUGGGCAGGACCAGGACCUCCCUGGGUCUAAUUACCACACACCAUACAUAAAUCCACCAGGAUAGUUAUUUGUGGCACUUUAGACACUGUUGUUUUAAAUGGACAGGUGUUUUGUGUGUUUUAUACACUCUAGGUUCUAUUGUUUUUAUAGCUGUCUUAAACCAACAGUAUCCCAUCCAUUGUAUAAGUGCUGAUUUUAGGUACUUCCCCUGUAUGAUGUCAUGAAAUCUCAUUGACAACUGGCAACGAUUCAACUCACCGGUUCAAUUCUGUUACCAAUUCAGAUUUAUACAAGACUUGUUUGUUUUAAGUUGUUUGUCUUCUACCGUCGAAUCAAGAUGGAGCUGAGAUGGAUAAAUAGACAACACGUUGAACACUGGCUAAAUUUUAUAAUAUGAACUCAGUUUGUGAAAUAUCUAUUUUUCAACAACAAAUAUUUUGGUUAAUGCAAAAAAAAAUCUAUGGUUAUAUUAACAUUAAGGUUUAUUUUACACAAUAAGGGGGAUCAAUUAGGGGUUCAACAUUGACCUUUCCAGAACUGUCUAGAAGGAGGCGCUGUAUUAGUUUUCAGUUCGACCAGCUGAGGGAAGCAGAGCUGAAUAAGUUGUUUAAAAUGAUGUUCAGAAACACAACACUUGUUAAAAUAAACAGUUUUAUGUUUAAAUGCUUUUUAUAUUUGCCAUGUGUGCUUCCCUCAUGAAGUUGGGUUUAUUUCAGUGUAACAACAGCUUUGGCCAGUGUUAUACUUUGACUUUGGUUCACACACCUUUACAUUGGCUUAACUGAGUAGAUCUGAUUCCAUUUGUUGAAUUAUUAGUGUUAAUUUGAAGAUUAUUCCCCCAAAAUGUUUAUGUGCAGCAGGUACGACAGACUUGGAUUCGCCUCUUCCUAUAGGCAGACUACGCGCUGCCCUUUUCUUUUUCAAGGAACUGUUGGGUCUCAACUCACUUUUGAAAAGUAGAAUACACCAGGUGCAAUUUUGACAUUUUGUUGUGUAUCAGUAGUUUCCCACUUAUGACAGUCGCUCAAUGAGACCAUGUCAGCAAAACAUUUUAAGAUUGCUAGGUAAGGUAGUUGAGCCAGGGCCCUGACCUCCAGGGGGGCCUCCAUUGGUUUUGUAAUUUUGUCACUCUUUCACAGACACUCAUAUAUAUAUAUAUAUAUAUAUACACACACACACAAGUAUAUGUGGAUUUGUCUAUUUCAGCCACACCUGUUGCUGACAGGUGUUUAAAAUCGAGCACACAGCCAUUCAAUCUCCAUAGACAAACAUUCGCAGUAGAAUGGCCUUACUGAAGAGCUCAGUUACUUUCAACGGGGCACUGUCAUAGGGUUCCACAUUCUCCAACAAGUCAGUUUGUCUAGAGCUACUCGGUCAAUUGUUAUUGUGAAGUGGAAACGUCUUGGAGAAACAACAGCUCGGCUGCGAAGUGGUAGGCCACACAAGCUCACAGAACGGGACCGCCGAGUGCUGUAGAGCACAAAGAUUGUCUGUCCCCUGUUGCAACACUCACUACAGAGUUCCAAACUGGAGGAGGAGGGGGGGUUCUAAAAGGCUAGAGGCAGCACUGGAAAGGCUACUCAGCAAGUGGCAUUGAACUUUAUUUUUUUGGUCAGUUUUGUCUCCCCCACUGCCCAAUGUCAAUUUGUGGGCAUGAUACAACUUGUCAAGCAGGUCUAUAAUAUGGUUAAUGUAGCACAGCUGGAUUCAAGUUGUUUUUUUUAACCUGUUUUUCCAUUGAGUCAAUGCUGUAUUCAAGCGUCUCAUACUAGUUUAUUUUUUUAUUUGCUGCUGUAUUUGAGUACAUUAUGGCCUUCAGGCUAAUAAAGUCACAGUAUCCAUUGAUCUCCUGCUCCAGUCAUCUCCAGCCAUGCAGUGGCUCCCAAUUUAUUAUUUUUUACCAAAGACAAACCAAAUCUUACAUGAGG